CGGUGGCCUAAAGCCAAAUCCAAAUGGAGGCCUUAGAUUUGAUUUUUUUUUUUAUGAAGUUUAUUAUAGCCAAUUAUUUAAUCUUUCUUGAGACAUAGUACUCAUAAUUUAUCAAACUUCUAUUACUUCUUUGCUCUUUUAUGAAAAGUCUAUAUUUUCUAUAAAUAAUACUCAAUAUUUUUUUAGAAAAAAUAUGUAUAACAUAUUAAUCUUUUUAAAAUGAGGCCCCUCAAAUUUUGGGGCCUAAGGCGGUUGCUUUUUUUUGUAAGGGGUAGAG
rnacentral:lncRNA from 1 species